rnacentral:rRNA from 1 species
CUCCUGACUGACCGAUAGUGAACCAGUACCGUGAGGGAAAGGCGAAAAGAACCCCGGCGAGGGGAGUGAAAAAGAACCUGAAACCGUGUACGUACAAGCAGUGGGAGCCUCUUAAUGGGGUGACUGCGUACCUUUUGUAUAAUGGGUCAGCGACUUAUAUUCUGUAGCAAGGUUAACCGAAUAGGGGAGCCGAAGGGAAACCGAGUCUUAACUGGGCGUUAAGUUGCAGGGUAUAGACCCGAAACCCGGUGAUCUAGCCAUGGGCAGGUUGAAGGUUGGGUAACACUAACUGGAGGACCGAACCGACUAAUGUUGAAAAAUUAGCGGAUGACUUGUGGCUGGGGGUGAAAGGCCAAUCAAACCGGGAGAUAGCUGGUUCUCCCCGAAAGCUAUUUAGGUAGCGCCUCGUGAAUUCAUCUCCGGGGGUAGAGCACUGUUUCGGCAAGGGGGUCAUCCCGACUUACCAACCCGAUGCAAACUGCGAAUACCGGAGAAUGUUAUCACGGGAGACACACGGCGGGUGCUAACGUCCGUCGUGAAGAGGGAAACAACCCAGACCGCCAGCUAAGGUCCCAAAGUCAUGGUUAAGUGGGAAACGAUGUGGGAAGGCCCAGACAGCCAGGAUGUUGGCUUAGAAGCAGCCAUCAUUUAAAGAAAGCGUAAUAGCUCACUGGUCGAGUCGGCCUGCGCGGAAGAUGUAACGGGGCUAAACCAUGCACCGAAGCUGCGGCAGCGACACUAUGUGUUGUUGGGUAGGGGAGCGUUCUGUAAGCCUGUGAAGGUGGCCUGUGAGGGUUGCUGGAGGUAUCAGAAGUGCGAAUGCUGACAUAAGUAACGAUAAAGCGGGUGAAAAGCCCGCUCGCCGGAAGACCAAGGGUUCCUGUCCAACGUUAAUCGGGGCAGGGUGAGUCGACCCCUAAGGCGAGGCCGAAAGGCGUAGUCGAUGGGAAACAGGUUAAUAUUCCUGUACUUGGUGUUACUGCGAAGGGGGGACGGAGAAGGCUAUGUUGGCCGGGCGACGGUUGUCCCGGUUUAAGCGUGUAGGCUGGUUUUCCAGGCAAAUCCGGAAAACCAAGGCUGAGGCGUGAUGACGAGGCACUACGGUGCUGAAGUGACAAAUGCCCUGCUUCCAGGAAAAGCCUCUAAGCAUCAGGUAACAUCAAAUCGUACCCCAAACCGACACAGGUGGUCAGGUAGAGAAUACCAAGGCGCUUGAGAGAACUCGGGUGAAGGAACUAGGCAAAAUGGUGCCGUAACUUCGGGAGAAGGCACGCUGAUAUGUAGGUGAAGCGACUUGCUCGUGGAGCUGAAAUCAGUCGAAGAUACCAGCUGGCUGCAACUGUUUAUUAAAAACACAGCACUGUGCAAACACGAAAGUGGACGUAUACGGUGUGACGCCUGCCCGGUGCCGGAAGGUUAAUUGAUGGGGUUAGCGGUAACGCGAAGCUCUUGAUCGAAGCCCCGGUAAACGGCGGCCGUAACUAUAACGGUCCUAAGGUAGCGAAAUUCCUUGUCGGGUAAGUUCCGACCUGCACGAAUGGCGUAAUGAUGGCCAGGCUGUCUCCACCCGAGACUCAGUGAAAUUGAACUCGCUGUGAAGAUGCAGUGUACCCGCGGCAAGACGGAAAGACCCCGUGAACCUUUACUAUAGCUUGACACUGAACAUUGAGCCUUGAUGUGUAGGAUAGGUGGGAGGCUUUGAAGUGUGGACGCCAGUCUGCAUGGAGCCGACCUUGAAAUACCACCCUUUAAUGUUUGAUGUUCUAACGUUGGCCCCUAAUCGGGGUUGCGGACAGUGUCUGGUGGGUAGUUUGACUGGGGCGGUCUCCUCCUAAAGAGUAACGGAGGAGCACGAAGGUUGGCUAAUCCUGGUCGGACAUCAGGAGGUUAGUGCAAUGGCAUAAGCCAGCUUGACUGCGAGCGUGACGGCGCGAGCAGGUGCGAAAGCAGGUCAUAGUGAUCCGGUGGUUCUGAAUGGAAGGGCCAUCGCUCAACGGAUAAAAGGUACUCCGGGGAUAACAGGCUGAUACCGCCCAAGAGUUCAUAUCGACGGCGGUGUUUGGCACCUCGAUGUCGGCUCAUCACAUCCUGGGGCUGAAGUAGGUCCCAAGGGUAUGGCUGUUCGCCAUUUAAAGUGGUACGCGAGCUGGGUUUAGAACGUCGUGAGACAGUUCGGUCCCUAUCUGCCGUGGGCGCUGGAGAACUGAGGGGGGCUGCUCCUAGUACGAGAGGACCGGAGUGGACGCAUCACUGGUGUUCGGGUUGUCAUGCCAAUGGCACUGCCCGGUAGCUAAAUGCGGAAGAGAUAAGUGCUGAAAGCAUCUAAGCACGAAACUUGCCCCGAGAUGAGUUCUCCCUGAGACUUAGAGUCUCCUGAAGGAACGUUGAAGACGACGACGUUGAUAGGCCGGGUGUGUAAGCGCAGCGAUGCGUUGAGCUAACCGGUACUAAUGAACCGUGAGGCUUAACCUUACAACGCCGAAG